CAGCCGCCGCGGUAACCCCAGCGCCACAAGUGGGAACCACGCUUAUUGGGUCUAAAGCAUCCGUAGCCGGUUCUGCAAAUGCCCUGUGAAAUCGUUGCGCUCAACGUAACGGCGUGCAGGGUAGACUACCGAACUAGAGACCAGAGGAAGGAGACGGUAUUCCUGAGGGAGCGGUAAAAUGUGAUAAUCUCAGGAGGACCACCAAUGGCGAAGGCAGUCUCCUAAUAUGGAUCUGACGGUGAGGGAUGAAAGCUAGGGGAGCGAUCCGGAUUAGAUACCCGAGUAGUCCUAGCCGUAAACGCUGCAUGCCAGAUGUUACACAAUCUUCGAGAUUGUGUAGUGUCGAAACGAAGGUGUUAAGCAUGCCACCUGGGAAGUACGGUCGCAAGGCUGAAACUUAAAGGAAUAAAAGGAAAAAAGCA
rnacentral:rRNA from 1 species